rnacentral:snRNA from 1 species
AUACUUACCUGGCAGGGGAGAGACCAUGAUCACAAAGGUGGUUUUCCCAGGGGGAGGCUUAUCUAUUGCACUCUGGAUGUGCUGACCCCUGCAAUUUCCCAAAAUGUGGGAAACUCGACUGCAUAAUUUGUGGUAGUGGGGGACUGCGUUUGCGCUCUCCCUUG